GAGUUUGAUCGUGGCUCAGAACGAACGCUGGCGGCAGGCUUAACACAUGCAAGUCGAACGCCCCGCAAGGGGAGUGGCAGACGGGUGAGUAACGCGUGGGAAUGUGCCCCAAGGUACGGAACAACACCGGGAAACUGGUGCUAAUACCGUAUGUGACCGAGAGGUGAAAGAUUUAUCGCCUUGGGAUCAGCCCGCGUUAGAUUAGGUAGUUGGUGGGGUAAUGGCCUACCAAGCCUGCGAUCUAUAGCUGGUCUGAGAGGAUGAUCAGCCACACUGGGGACUGAGACACGGCCCAGACUCCUACGGGAGGCAGCAGUGGGGGAAUCUUGGACAAUGGGGCGCAAGCCUGAUCCAGCCAUGCCGCGUGAAUGAUGAAGGCCUUAGGGUUGUAAAGUUCUUUCGUCGGGGACGAUAAUGACGGUACCCGAAGAAGAAGCCCGGCUAACUUCGUGCCAGCAG
rnacentral:rRNA from 1 species